rnacentral:rRNA from 1 species
AUGAGUCAUCAUGAUGGCAUCAACAUCCCCGGUGGCAAGUUCUACCUAGGAGAUGCUGGCUAUGCAUGUCGGCCAGGUGUUCUUCCAUCCUUCGGGAAAAUUAGGUACCAUCUAAACGAGUUCUUUGGUAGGAACUAUUCCAGGACUCCCGAGGAACUAUUCAAUCUCAAACACUCCAGCUCUAGAGUAACAGUUGAGAGGGCAUUUGGAGCUCCGGAGAAUAGGUUUAAGAUCCUGGAUUAGAAGCCAUUCCAUCCUCACCCUACCCAGGUCAAGCUUGUUCUUGCAUGUUGCACCAUUCACAACUGGAUCCUGCGAUGGGGAAUUGAUGAACUUGUGCCGGAGGAGGAAGAUGUGACUCCUGAUGAGGUGAUCAGCUCCGGCCAUGGUGUGGAGGCGUUUGACAACGAAGCGUAGAAGAACAAAAGAUUGUAG